CCGCCCGCGACAGCAAGUAAACUGUGAUAUGUCCCUGUGGUUUGGCAUAAUCACUAGUUUCUUGAUGUCACGGGCGACUAGUGCCAAUAGUUACCCCUUUUUGGACCUCUGUAGAUGUUAACCCGGUGAAGAAGAAGCUACGGAAGACAACUUCACCGAAAAAGCAAAC
ensembl:ncRNA ZK930.12 ncRNA